UACGUAGGGGGCAAGCGUUGUCCGGAUUUAUUGGGCGUAAAGAGCGUGUAGGCGGCCAGAUAGGUCCGUUGUGAAAACUGGAGGCUCAACCUUCAGAGGUCGACCGAAACCAUUUGGCUAGAGUCCGGGAGAGGAGAGUGGAAUUCCUGGUGUAGCGGUGAAAUGCGCAGAUAUCAGGAAGAACACCCGUGGCGAAAGCGGCUCUCUGGAACGGUACUGACGCUGAGACGCGAAAGCGUGGGGAGCGAACAGG
rnacentral:rRNA from 1 species